rnacentral:rRNA from 1 species
UACGUAUGGAGCAAGCGUUAUCCGGAUUUACUGGGUGUAAAGGGUGCGUAGGCGGCACAGCAAGUCAGAUGUGAAAGACCGGGGCUCAACCCCGGGGCUGCAUUUGAAACUGCCGAGCUUGAGUCCGGGAGAGGCAGGCGGAAUUCCUAGUGUAGCGGUGAAAUGCGUAGAUAUUAGGAGGAACACCAGUGGCGAAGGCGGAUUACUGGACGACAACUGACGGUGAGGCGCGAAAGCGUGGGGAGCAAACAGG